rnacentral:lncRNA from 1 species
GCUUAUAUAAAAUUUCAUAAUUGGUUGGAUAGAUCUACACUUUCUUUUAUCACCUAAUAAUACAUGUAUAAAUUAACAAAAUAAUCUCAGGGAUUACGUUCGCAAUAAAUUCCAACGUAAUGUUUGAAAUUUUAAAAGAACCUUUGCAAAAAAAUGGAAAAGUUUUAUAUGUACUCAAUUUCUCCAUUACAUUUUCCAAUUUAUUUGUUUGGUGAAAAAU